GCUGGCGGCGUGCUUAACACAUGCAASUGGUGCGACGAACCAGGGCUUGCCCUGGGGCCAAGCCGCGAACGGGUGAGUAACACGUGAGUAACCUGCCCCGAUGACCGGGACAACCCGAGGAAACUCGGGCUAAUACCGGAUGUGGCGCACAAUCGUAAGUUUGUGCGCUAAAGGAAGCUUCGGCCUCCGCAUUGGGAGGGGCUCGCGGCCCAUUAGCUUGUUGGUGGGGUAACGGCCCACCAAGGCAACGAUGGGUAGCUGGUCUGAGAGGACGAUCAGCCACACUGGGACUGAGACACGGCCCAGACUCCUACGGGAGGCAGCAGUGGGGAAUCUUGCGCAAUGCGCGAAAGCGUGACGCAGCAACGCCGCGUGGGGGAAGACGGCCUUCGGGUUGUAAACCCCUUUCAGGAGGGACGAAGGUUCACCGGUGAAUAGCCGUGUGGAUUGACGGUACCUCCAGAAGAAGCUCCGGCUAACUACGUGCCAGCAGCCGCGGUAAUACGUAGGGAGCAAGCGUUGUCCGGAAUCAUUGGGCGUAAAGCGCGCGUAGGCGGCCUCAUAAGUCCGUUGUGAAAGUCAAAGGCUCAACCUUUGAAAGCCGAUGGAUACUGUGAGGCUAGAGUCCGGAAGAGGCGAG
rnacentral:rRNA from 1 species